rnacentral:lncRNA from 1 species
GAGGAUAUGCUAGAGGAGGAUAGGCUGAUGGCGGAGGGGGAAAAUACGGUGGUGGUGGGUAUGCUGCUGGAUUUAGUGGAUGCAAUGGAUAUGCUGUUGGAUUCGGUGCAUACGAUGGGUAUGCAGGAGCAGUCGCAGGGUAUGCUGUAGCGGAUGCACUGUAAAGAUGAGCUGAUGGGGGAGGAGGUGCGUAGUACAUAGACACAUGAGGAGGAG